rnacentral:rRNA from 1 species
CCUACGGGGGGCUGCAGUGAGGAAUAUUGGUCAAUGGGCGCGAGUCUGAACCAGCCAAGCAGCGUGAAGGAUGACGGCCCUACGGGUUGUAAACUUCUUUUAUAAAGGAAUAAAGUGAGGCACGUGUGCCUUUCUGUAUGUACUUUAUGAAUAAGGAUCGGCUAACUCCGUGCCAGCAGCCGCGGUAAUACGGAGGAUCCGAGCGUUAUCCGGAUUUAUUGGGUUUAAAGGGAGCGUAGACGGGUUGUUAAGUCAGUUGUGAAAGGUUGGGGCUCAACCGUAAAAUUGCAAUUGAUACUGGCAGUCUUGAGUACAGUUGAGGUAGGCGGAAUGCGUGGUGUAGCGGUGAAAUGCUUAGAUAUCACGAAGAACUCCGAUUGCGAAGGCAGCUUACUAGACUGCCACUGACAUUGAUGCACGAAAGUGUGGGUAUCAAACAGGAUUAGAUACCCGAGUAGUC